rnacentral:rRNA from 2 species
GCGCGCAGGCGGUUUCUUAAGUCUGAUGUGAAAGCCCACGGCUCAACCGUGGAGGGUCAUUGGAAACUGGGGAACUUGAGUGCAGAAGAGAAAAGCGGAAUUCCACGUGUAGCGGUGAAAUGCGUAGAGAUGUGGAGGAACACCAGUGGCGAAGGCGGCUUUUUGGUCUGUAACUGACGCUGAGGCGCGAAAGCGUGGGGAGCAAACAGGAUUAGAUACCCUGGUAGUCCACGCCGUAAACGAUGAGUGCUAAGUGUUAGAGGGUUUCCGCCCUCUAGUGCUGCAGCUAACGCAUUAAGCACUCCGCCUGGGGAGUACGGUCGCAAGACUGAAACUCAAAGGAAUUGACGGGGG